UACGUAGGUGGCGAGCGUUGUCCGGAUUUACUGGGCGUAAAGAGCGCGCAGGCGGUCGAUCAAGUCGGAUGUGAAAGCCCCCGGCUCAACUGGGGAGGGUCAUUCGAUACUGGUCGACUCGAAGGCAGGAGAGGGAAGCGGAAUUCCCGGUGUAGUGGUGAAAUGCGUAGAGAUCCGGAGGAACCCCAGAGGCGAAGGCGGCCCCCUGGCUCGUACCUGACGCUCAGCCACGAAAGCAUGGGGAGCGAACGGG
rnacentral:rRNA from 1 species